GACGAACGCUGGCGGCGUGCUUAACACAUGCAAGUCGAACGGAAAGGCCCUGCUUUUGCGGCGUGCUCGAGUGGCGAACGGGUGAGUAACACGUGAGUAACCUGUCCUUGACUUUGGGGUAACUUCAGGAAACAGCGGCUCAUACCGGAUAGGAGCUCCUGCUGCAUGGUGGGCGUUGGUAAGUUUCGGCGGUUGGGGAUGGACUCGCGGCUUAUCCGCUUGUUGGUGGGGUAGUUGCUUACCAAGGCUUUGACGGGUAGCCGGCCUUGGAGGGUGAACGGGGUCAAGGGGACUGCGGUACGGACCAGUAGCCAACGGGAGGCAGCGGGGGGGAAUAUGACACAGUGGGGGGAAGCGAGAUGCAGCAACGCCGGGAGCGGAAUGCCGGCCUUCGGGUUGUAAACCGCUUUCGCCUGUGACGAAGCGUGAGUGACGGUAAUGGGUAAAGAAGCACCGGCUAACUACGUG
rnacentral:rRNA from 1 species